rnacentral:rRNA from 1 species
UUUGUCUAUUAAUUGUAGACUCGCAUGAAAGGCAAAAUGAGAGCCCGACUGUCUCUUAUAACAAAUCAAUUAAACUGAUCUUCCAGUACAAAAGCUGGAAUACUAUCAUAAGACCAGAAGACCCUGUGAAGCUUUAACUAAACUAUUAAACCUAAUAAUAACUACGUUUUGGUUGGGGCGACCUUGGAAUAAAAAAGAACUUCCAAAUUAUGAUUCCUCAUAUAAAAGGCACACAAGCCACAUUAGACCCAGUACAUCUGAUAAAUGAACCAAGUUACUCCAGGGAUAACAGCGCUAUCUUCUUCAAGAGCCCAUAUCAAAAAGAAGGUUUACGACCUCGAUGUUGGAUCAGGACAUCCUAGUAAUGCAACCGUUACUAAGGGUUCGUUUGUUCAACGAUUAAUAGU